rnacentral:rRNA from 1 species
CAGUAGCCGCGGUAGUACGUAGGGUGCGAGCGUUAAUCGGAAUUACUGGGCGUAAAGCGUGCGCAGGCGGUUGUGUAAGACAGGUGUGAAAUCCCCGGGCUUAACCUGGGAACUGCGCUUGUGACUGCACAGCUAGAGUAUGGCAGAGGGGGGUGGAAUUCCACGUGUAGCAGUGAAAUGCGUAGAGAUGUGGAGGAACACCGAUGGCGAAGGCAGCCCCCUGGGCCAAUACUGACGCUCAUGCACGAAAGCGUGGGGAGCAAACAGGAUUAGAUACCCGCGUAGUCCCUGUCUCUUAUAC